CCCACCGCAAGUUAAAGAUACUAGCGGAAACAACACCACCAGGCGCCAGUCCACCACCACCACCACCGCCACCAAGUUUAACCACUUAACUUAAAACAAGCAGAUUGAACAAUAUACUUGUUUUGAUUAGUUCAGCUUCAUCAAAACAUGCUAUACACAGUGGUAACCAUACUUGUAAUCUAGUUUGUGUAGCCUUCAUUUGGUGAGCAUAAUUAUUUCAUUAAUUUGUUUUGUUCUUGCGAUUCAGAUUUUGUUCAGUGUAUCUAGUUCGAGCUAAUUUUCUCCUUGGCUUUUCAUGCCUUUAAAUUUGCAUUGUAACCAAGUCUAAAGGUGUUCGAAUACGUUAUAUAUUAAGAAGAAGAAUGGAAAUUUUUUGGGAAGAGAGCUUAAGUUAUGCUCUGUGAAGUCCUUUUUGCCAUUCUGCUCUGUGUUUACACAACUGCAGCAAUAGUGAAACAGUAAAAUACCUCUUUCUAGCAUGGCCAAUCGUUUUUAGAUGAAAUCCAAGAGGGCAUAGAUAAGAAAAAUUCAACAGGUUUAAUUUUCGUGCACUGAAAUUCUUUCCUCGGCAGAAUUUUCUUCUUUCAAAUCUUUUUCCUGUACGAAAACGUGUAUGCAUUUAUGAGUUGCCCUGUUACCAAGUCAACCGCGUCUGUUUUUGCUGUUGUAUUUGCUUUCUUGAAUCUCCUUUCCUUCGCUCUAUAUAAAGCUGUGCUCGAUCUGUAUCUAUAUUUUAUUCAAAAAUUGCUUUUCUCUGAUCCUCUUUCUCUGCAUAUUUUGAAGCUUCUACGUUCUAUGCCCAUGACUGGCAAUUACCGUAGUCUUCUUCCUUUCUACAAGGUGAUCCAAAAUACCAUUUCCGAAGAAAUAGAAGAUGACCCACAGACGCUGCAGAAUUUUGCGUAUGGGACAUAUUUGGGUCUCAUUUUAUGUCUCUCAUGGAACCUCAUAGCUGUUGCAUCGUUAUGGAUUAAGGGUGGGGUAGAAAAUUUAUCUUUGUUCCUAGCCAUUGCCUACUUGGUGCUUGGCAUUCCAGCAGCAUAUGCCUCAUGGUAUCGUACACUAAGUCUUGCUUUCAGAGAAGAAAACCCUUCGAUUUCGAUGCUUGAUAGGUUUCUCUGGUUCUACCUUAUUCACUUUGGCUUCUGCGUAUAUGCUGCAGUUUCUCCUACUACACAAUCUCUCGCUGGCUUGCUGAUUGCAAUAAAUGUUUAUUCUGAUCAUAAUUCGAUUGGUAUCUUGUACUUCAUUGGUUUUGGGUUGUUCGUUCUUGAAUUCUUGCUCAGCCUGUAUGUUAUGGCGAGUGUAAAUCUAUAUAAACGUCGCUGUGAAGCC
rnacentral:misc_RNA from 1 species